GUGCAUUGGGCGGCUUACACAUGCAGUCGAGCGGGGGAGAUUGCUUCGGUAAUUGACCUAGCGGCGGACGGGUGAGUAAUACUUAGGAAUCUGCCUAUUAAUGGGGGACAACAUCUCGAAAGGGAUGCUAAUACCGCAUACGCCCUACGGGGGAAAGCAGGGGAUCACUUGUGACCUUGCGUUAAUAGAUGAGCCUAAGUCGGAUUACCUAGUUGGUGGGGUAAAGGCCUACCAAGGCGACGAUCUGUAGCGGGUCUGAGAGGAUGAUCCGCCACACUGGGACUGAGACACGGCCCAAACUCCUACGGGAGGCAGCAGUGGGGAAUAUUGGACAAUGGGGGGAACCCUGAUCCAGCCAUGCCGCGUGUGUGAAGAAGGCCUUAUGGUUGUAAAGCACUUUAAGCGAGGAGGAGGCUCUUUUGGUUAAUACCCAAGAUGAGUGGACGUUACUCGCAGAAUAAGCACCGGCUAACUCUGUGCCAGCAGCCGCGGUAAUACAGAGGGUGCGAGCGUUAAUCGGAUUUACUGGGCGUAAAGCGUGCGUAGGCGGCUUUUUAAGUCGGAUGUGAAAUCCCCGAGCUUAACUUGGGAAUUGCAUUCGAUACUGGGGAGCUAGAGUAUGGGAGAGGAUGGUAGAAUUCCAGGUGUAGCGGUGAAAUGCGUAGAGAUCUGGAGGAAUACCGAUGGCGAAGGCAGCCAUCUGGCCUAAUACUGACGCUGAGGUACGAAAGCAUGGGGAGCAAACAGGAUUAGAUACCCUGGUAGUCCAUGCCGUAAACGAUGUCUACUAGCCGUUGGGGUCUUUGAGACUUUAGUGGCGCAGCUAACGCGAUAAGUAGACCGCCUGGGGAGUACGGUCGCAAGACUAAAACUCAAAUGAAUUGACGGGGGCCCGCACAAGCGGUGGAGCAUGUGGUUUAAUUCGAUGCAACGCGAAAACCUUACCUGGUCUUGACAUAGUAAGAACUUUCAGAGAUGGAUUGGUGCCUUCGGGAACUUCAUACAGUGCUGCAUGCUGUCGUCAGCUCGGUCCUGAGAUGUUGGUUAAGUCCCGCAACAAG
rnacentral:rRNA from 1 species